AUACUCUGGUUUCUCUUCAGAUCGUAUAAAUCUUUUGCUUUUCACUAAAGAUUUCCCUGGAGAAGAGCACUCAGAGUUUAAGUUAAUUUUUUGUGGCUCUGCUUUAGUGGGGC